rnacentral:rRNA from 1 species
GACGGAGGGGGCUAGCGUUGUUCGGAAUUACUGGGCGUAAAGGGCGCGUAGGCGGCAAAUCAAGUUAGACGUGAAAUCCCCGGGCUUAACCUGGGAACUGCGUUUAAUACUGGUUAGCUAGAGAUCGGUAGAGGAAAGUGGAAUUCCUAGUGUAGAGGUGAAAUUCGUAGAUAUUAGGAAGAACACCAGAGGCGAAGGCGACUUUCUGGGCCGAUACUGACGCUGAGGCGCGAAAGCGUGGGGAGCAAACAGG